AGCGAACGCUGGCGGCAUGCUUAACACAUGCAAGUCGCACGGGGCGCUUUCGGGCAUCCAGUGGCGGACGGGUGAGUAUCGCGUAGGGAUUUGUCGUUGGGUGGGGACAACCUUGGGAAACUAGGGCGUAAUACCGCAUGACGCCUGUGGGCCAAAGCUCGUGAGGGCGCCUGACGAGGAGCCUGCGUCCGAUUAGGUAGUUGGUUGGGUGAUGGCUGACCAAGCCUGC
rnacentral:rRNA from 1 species